GUACACUUCCUGGGCUCUGUGACUCUGACAAGGCACUGAAUUUAGCUGCUACUAUCAGUUAAGGCUCAGCUCAUAUGUAAUCAGUUCCAGGACCACCGGUCCCCAGGAAGAGGAUGGAGAAAUUGAAGCUCCAAAUGGCUAAGCAAUCUACCCAAGAUCACACAGCCAGAUUGGUGGCAUCUAAAAUUCGAACCCAGUCCUGAUGUGCUGAACUUCGCAUCUGGAUUUCUCAAAAUGUUAAGGAUUGAUAUGCUGGGCUGGUAAUUCCUUAUUGUGGAGGGCUUCUUUGUGUAUUAUAGGAUGUCUAGCCGUAUCCCUGGCUUCUAUUCUACAUCGUAGUAGCACCCCUACUCCUAUAUGACAACCAAAAAUAUCUCCAGAUAGUCAGUUGUCUCCUGAUGGGCAACAUCACCCCACUCCCAGUUGAUCACUACUGCCCUGUGUUAACAUAUGUUUUCUCAUAUAAUUCUCACAACAACCCUAUACACUAGGUGCCAUUAUCAUCCCCAUUUUGAAGAUGAAGAAAUGAAACCCAGAGAAAUUGGGAGUUGAUGAGGGUCACAAAGCUUGUAAAUGGCUCUCAUUUUUUCCUGGGUAUAAAGUGGUAGAACUAGUGAAGGUGAUGAGAGGCUGAAUAUUUCAGUGGUUGAUACCAGGCAAGUGCAACUCCGAAGUCUUGAUUUUAUUGCUGCUUUAUUAGGCAUUUGAAAAAUUUAGUGCUUAUGACACUAAUAACCAGGAGUAGGCUGUUAAAAUUCAAAUUCUUGAUAGAAUCAAAUUCAGUAGAUCUGCAGUGGGCACAGAAAUGUGUAUUAUAAAACAUAGCUACACUGACUGGCGGUGCUGUUGUCCAGGGAACCUAAGCGUGAAACAUGGAACAUUGUGCCCCUAAAAGAAAAUUUCGGGAGAAAGAAUGGAGAUGAUAAGCGGAAAGGAGAGGGUUUGGGAUGAGACCUGACGUGCAACUACUUGCACAAUUCAGUUUAACUGCCACACAAAGAGGGCACCGAAUAUGCAUUAUACCAAGUGACCUGCAAUGCUUGGAUGAGGGGUCUACUGUAGACCUUGGGAUGAUGCAUCCAGUGCCUUCAAAUCACUACUCACUCUUGGCUAGUGUUGAAUCCCAAGGCUGAGUGGGCUGCCUCCUUUGGAAGCUUAGUGCAUCCUGAGGUUCUAAAAAUGGUUACAGUGAAACAAAAACAGCUGUGUCAAUUUCCAAUUUCCGCUCUAUUCAGAUUCACACUCUGCCUCCUCUCCUCUCUUAGAGGCAGUGGGACACAGGCACACACAUGCACUCAUUCCACCUCCUUUCCUCCCUCAGGCGUGGAAGGACAUGAGCGUGCACACAAGCAGGCACACACAGACACACAUGUGCGCACUCUGCCGCCUCUCUCUCACUUACUUGAGUUCAUUUCCCCAUGGAGAGGGAAUGUUUCUAGUUUUCCAAAAAGGAAUGGCAAACAAGAGAAGCCACAAGAGCCUAGACUACAAUAAAAUGCUACAAUAUGCUUUCAAGCUGGAGCGACUAAAAAGCUGGGAAGAGAAAGCGGCAGUAUAAUGUCUAUUUUUAUCUUCAACUAUAAUCUACCCACUUGUAGUUUCAUAGCUGUCAGGAGGCAGAAAAGGACAUGGAAUCAGCCUACUGUUCUCUGCUCGCAUCCUACACCUGUGUGGCAUGAAUGUGGGUGUGUGUGCACAUACACAGAUACUUUAACACACUGUCAGAGGAUUUGAUUGAACUCACACCUGAAGCCAGAUUUUUUUUAGAAGUUGUCCCUUUGUUCAUUAUUUCUUGGCCAGGCACAGAAAAUUAAAAGCAGGUUAUUGAAACCCAUUUUCUGGGUCCUGAAGGAUAACUGUUAGCCUUGGAUGAUCAGAAGGAGCAGCUAUGCACCUAUUAGGCUUUGUCAGCCUUGGCCACACUGGGUUAUGGGGAUUCCUAACCUCCUGAACACUACUCACUAGUUUGGUGAUUAUCUAUCUCCUUGAGAGAAGGCAAGUAUGGCCCAAUGGAAAUAGCACAGCCUUGGAGUCGGGACACCUGAGCAUCUUGCCUCAUUCUGCCAUGUACAAACUCUGUGGCCUCCAGCAAGUUCCUUUACCACUCUGAACCACAGUGUCCUCAUCUGCAGAGGGACGACAACCCCUAUUUGAUGAUUGUUGGGAGAAUUCAAGAUAAUGUAUGCAAACAACUUACCUACACUUGUACAUUCAACUAUCAUCUUCUUCAAAGAAGAAACUGUGGCAGGUGCUAUUCCACAACCCAUGUUUAUGUUCAAGCUUUGUUGGAUUCCUGUUUGGGAAUUUCCUUCCGAGGCGGGCGGUGUCACAUUCAUUUGAAGUCAGUCAAUAAUGGAAGAUGUGGCCAAGGAGAAACAACUUCCUAUUCCUAUCCUGUAGCCUGCCAAGCCUGAGAAGCUACCUCCCUGAAAAUCUUCCUAGGACUCCUCAGCUUCCUCAAUGCUACCAAAUACCCACUAUCUCCAUAGACACACACAAAUCCCCUCCACCCACAAUGAUGUCCUGGUAAGCUACUUGGUAUCUUACUGCAACAAGUAUUCAAUGAAGAAGCUUGAUGUCUGUGCUAAAGAUGCCAUCCCCUGAGGUUCUGAAAGCUGUAAAUGCUCAAGCUCCUGCAGCAGUGCUACUCAGGGGAAGACAGCCCCCACUCUCCGUGUCACACUUUGUAUCUUGGGCACUAAAGCAGCCCUGCACUUAAUCCAUUCCUUCUGCUUUUGCAUGUAACCCCUGUCUACUCAGGGCUCAUGCAAAUAACUGGGUGAGGUUUACAGGCCUUGGUAAGCUCCUGUCCCAUCCCUCACAGAUGUGUCAAUUGCACUUCUUGCAAAACUGCUUGUCCAAGUUGCUAGCUUGUGGGCUGGUCUUCACCUGACAUUAGUACUUGGGCAGUUAGAGUUUUUGAUCUUUUAGACUAUAAGUUUUUAGUGAGUCAGGUUUUCUGUUUAAUUCUUCACAGCCAUUUUACUUCACAGUAAAAUGGUAUGGUUUUUGCUGUAGCAUACAGGAAUAUCUAGAAUAGUGGGGGUAUGGAAAAAAUGUUUCACAUUUAGUUUAGAGCUAGUCUUCUUUUACAUUUUCUUAUAUUCCAUUUUGUUAAUUUCUAGUAUUUGUUAAUUUCUGUCAUUUGUUUAUUUAACAUUUAUUGAGCUACUCUGAAGAGAUAACACUGUAUCCUGAACCAAUAAAUACGACUACUACAAUCUCUGCUUUCAAGUUUCUAUAAUUUUGGGGAGAAAGGGAGAUAAACACGAAAACAAAAUUCUGUUGAUGAGUGUAAAUGGAAACACUCAAACGUUUAUUUCCAGAGGAUAACUUAUGAAAGGAAAACAUUAAUCCCAGCCAGAUGAGGGGAUCAAAUGAUAUUUCUCACUUUCACUUUGCCACCCAAUCUCAGACACUAUCCUCUCUGGGCUGACAUUGACUUCCUCCAGCUGACAGAGGCAUCAUUAGUGAGUCCUGAGCUGCCAGUAUGGUCUAAAAACUAAAAUUUAACAGCCUCCUGAGCUGGGGAAAAUCUUAACUGAGAACUGCAAGGAAUAGCUGCCUUGGCACAAGCUGUGUGGAAUCUUAAAAGGGAGCAGGUUUUGAGGCCAAGAUUUAUGUUCAACAGCUAAUGCUUUAGAGACAGAGUUAUAUGUAGAAAAGCUGACUCCGUGUUUGUCCCUUACUGAUGCAAAUAAGAGUCGCAUCUGUAACCCAUGUUUUAUCUGUUUAUUUUUUUUAGACCCUGACAUAAUAUAAAAGGUGAGUAUUAAGGCCCACUAAACCUCUGAAGGUCUAUCUGCUUAUCCCAUUGCAG
rnacentral:lncRNA from 1 species